UGCGUAGGCGGGAUAAUAAGUCAGUGGUGAAAGCCUGCAGCUUAACUGUAGAAUUGCCAUUGAUACUGUUAUCCUUGAGUAUAGUUGAGGUGGGCGGAAUGUGUCAUGUAGCGGUGAAAUGCUUAGAUAUGACACAGAACACCGAUUGCGUAGGCAGCUCACUAAACUAUCACUGACGCUGAGGCACGAAAGCGUGGGGAGCGAACAGGAUUAGAUACCCUGGUAGUCC
rnacentral:rRNA from 1 species